GGAAUAUUGGUCAAUGGCCGGAAGGCUGAACCAGCCAAGCCGCGUGAGGGAAGACGGCCCUACGGGUUGUAAACCUCUUUAGCCGGGGAACAAGGCGCGGGACGCGUCCCGCCGUGAGCGUACCCGGAGAAUAAGCAUCGGCUAACUCCGUGCCAGCAGCCGCGGUAAUACGGAGGAUGCGAGCGUUAUCCGGAUUUAUUGGGUUUAAAGGGUGCGUAGGCGGGUUGUUAAGUCAGUUGUGAAAGUUUGCGGCUCAACCGUAAAAUUGCAGUUGAUACUGGCAUCCUUGAGUACAGUAGAGGUAGGCGGAAUUCGUGGUGUAGCGGUGAAAUGCUUAGAUAUCACGAAGAACUCCGAUUGCGAAGGCAGCCUGCUGGACUGUAACUGACGCUGAUGCUCGAAAGUGUGGGUAUCAAACAG
rnacentral:rRNA from 1 species